UACGGGGGGGGCAAGCGUUGUUCGGAAUUACUGGGCGUAAAGGGCUCGUAGGCGGCCAACUAAGUCAGACGUGAAAUCCCUCGGCUUAACCGGGGAACUGCCUCUGAUACUGGAUGGCUUGAGAUUGGGAGAGGGAUGCGGAAUUCCAGGUGUAGCGGUGAAAUGCGUAGAUAUCUGGAGGAACACCGGUGGCGAAGGCGAUCUUCUGGACGAAAACUGACGCUGAGACACGAAAGCCAAGGUAGCAAACAGG
rnacentral:rRNA from 1 species